ensembl:lncRNA
AGCGGAGGGCGUGGUGAGCUCUGCAGCAUGAUUCAUGCCACGUCUGGAGAUUCAUGUUCGCUACAGAAAAGUUAGGGAGUUUGAUGUAGAAAGCUGAGGGUGAAUGCAUGCAACACUGAGCUGUGCUGAGAGCCACAGCUAAGCCGAGCAGUACAGGUGCUUCAGCUGCACACAGCAUGUAGAUCCCAUACGAAUGUUGACUGUAAUAUCUGAAAAACAGUAGUUUUUGUCUCACCUCUACCCCUUCGUACCACUAAAGGCAGCUCCAGGAGUCCCAGCGCUGCCAGGAUCACACUGGCUUGGCCCUGCCAAGCACAGAAAAUCAAAAUUACAAACAAGAAGGAAGCAGGGAUUGGAACAGGUGCUUAUGGUCUUUUAUUUGGAAACAAACCACAAUUCAAAACAAAUUACAUGUGAUCCUACAACUUUCAUAUACAUUUGAUUGUAUCAGAUGUAGCAUUUAUGUCAUUAGCAAGACUGCAAUUUUUUAAUCCACCCUACCAAGGAAAAACCACCCGAAAAUCCGUUUCCUGCUCACAUUGCUCUCUAGGGCAGCGAUGUUCCUGCCCUUUCUGCAAGGCAGACCAAGCCCUUAAUCCCACAGAGCUCAUCCUGGCACGAGCUGCAGCGCGCAUGGCUUUGCCCUUUGUUGUGGGCUCUUUGAGGGCCUUCGGUCUGCAUUCCUGUGAAGUCCCUCCAAGCAACAGCCUUCUUGAGUUUAAUUAAUCCUCCCACUGCCUUUGGUGAUGGAGGCUUAGCUCGCUACCUGCAGCACAUUCCAUUUCAGACACUGCUGCUUUGUUGUGCCCUCAAAGCGAGGGUGCAGCAUUCUUACAGCCCUGGAGCUGAGGCUGGGGACCGCGCAGCAAAGCCACACAAUGCACACUUUAUGCUGGCAGGGUGCACUUCAAUCCGUAUUUAGGUUUGGCGUGAGCACUGGUCAAACCCACUUGCUCUUCAUAUUGCACGUGAGCCAUUUUGAUUCUGCCCGAUCAGGCAGCGCUCUCAAUAGGAUGAGAAUCACAGAAUUGCAGGAGUUGGAAGGGACCUCAAGAGAUCAUUGAGCCCAACCCCCUGCUAAAGCAGCUUCCCUACAGUAGGUCGCACAGGUAGGUGUCCAGAUGGGUCUUCAAUACCUCCAUAGAAGGAGACUGCACAACCUCUCUGGGCAGCCUGUUCCAGUGCUUCGUCAUCUUCACCGUAAAGAAGUUCUGCCUGUUAGUAAGGAACUUCUUAUGUUCAUAUUUUAGGCCACUGUUCCUUGUCCCUUUGCUACACACCACUGAGAAGAGCCUGGCCUCAUCUAUUUGCCUCCCACCUCCUUUCAGAUAUUUUUAAACAUCAAACAGAUCCCCCCUCAGUCUUCUUUUGCCCAGGUUGAACAGACCCAGGUUACUCAGCCUUCCCUCACAUGGGAGAUGAAGCAGAUAGAGCUGGGGGUGAGAGGCAGGAUGAGAAACAAAUGUGAAGCAGAGGAAGAAAAGAACUGGAAUAAACCCAAUGAAACACAGCCCGCAGAUCAGCUAGACUGGUACUCCUGACUGACCCAGGGAGAGACUUGGAAGACGGAAUGGCUUCCUGAUGGAGUGAGGAACUGUCAAGAGGUUGAACGCUAAGUUAGCUAUUUCCCUGUAUCAAGCCAGCCAACAUCCUUUUUACACAUACAUUUGAGACAGCCAGAAAGCAAAUACAGAAAAAGAAUUAAGCAGAUUAUGUUGGAAAACAGAUUACAAACCAAACAAACUACUAAAACCACCUUGUCUUGGGAAUUUGGCUUAAAAACCUGAUUGAAUCAAAG